rnacentral:rRNA from 1 species
UAGGGAAUCUUCGGCAAUGGGGGCAACCCUGACCGAGCAACGCCGCGUGAGUAAAGAAGGUUUUCGGAUCGUAAAGCUCUGUUGUAAGAGAAGAACGUGUGUGAGAGUGGAAAGUUCACACAGUGACGGUAACUUACCAGAAAGGGACGGCUAACUACGUGCCAGCAGCCGCGGUAAUACGUAGGUCCCGAGCGUUGUCCGGAUUUAUUGGGCGUAAAGCGAGCGCAGGCGGUUUAAUAAGUCUGAAGUUAAAGGCAGUGGCUUAACCAUUGUUCGCUUUGGAAACUGUUAAACUUGAGUGCAGAAGGGGAGAGUGGAAUUCCAUGUGUAGCGGUGAAAUGCGUAGAUAUAUGGAGGAACACCGGUGGCGAAAGCGGCUCUCUGGUCUGUAACUGACGCUGAGGCUCGAAAGCGUGGGGAGCAAACAGG